GUGACCAUGCUCUAAGCAUGUGACCAAGGCUGUGGCACGGAAGAAGUUCAUGCAUUGCCUGUUUAAAUUGUGGUUCACUGUAUCGAUAUAUUUUCACAGUAAAAAAGUAAUUAUAACUAGUGAGUUCCUAAAAACAAUAACGUGUAUGUGAAACGGAGAAAAUGUGUUCCGCACUGUGUUAUUCCAGGACCUUACAAAACCCGAUUCUGUUCACUAUAUUAGCUCAGCUCCGGUUGCAUAGAAGGCAACAGUGUUAUCUUUCAUUUGGACACUUGUCUAUAAAUGUCAACAGUAAACACAAAGGGAGAAGCCUUGCUUCUUGUCUUCAUUCAACUCAACAGUCCGUCUGUGGUGGCACAGCGGUGUCAUGGUUGACCAAACUGAAACGAAUCAAAGUUGGAUUGUGUAUGGAGUUUUCAACCUCAGGCCAUAGCAGAAGCGAAGCAAUCGGAAAUAUACAGUCGAGCCAUUAUCAUUUGGUGUACACCUGCAAGGUCUGCUCCACCAGAUCAAUGAAAAAGAUAUCCAAAACAGCCUAUCAUAAGGGUGUUGUCAUAGUAACUUGUCCAGGCUGCAAAAAUCACCACAUCAUUGCUGACAACCUAGGAUGGUUUUCAGACCUGGAAGGAAAGCGGAACAUAGAGGAGAUUUUGGCAUCAAAGGGGGAGAAAGUGAAAAGGAUUAAGGGUGAUGAAGCCAUACAGAUUGUCACGGAAGAAUCCAUGACAGAGGACUCGCAAAACUCUCCAAAUGGACAAAAGAAGUUGCCAAAGGGUGGAAGCUCAGAGGAAACAUGAAUAAUGAGGUUUACUGUCACUGAGCAAAAAUCGAUUUAAUAUAUUUUUUUAUUUUAUUGAAUAAAAGCACAGCUUCUUAAUGGCAUGCUUUCGAUGUUCAUUGUACCAAUAUAAUAUAUCAGUGUAAUAAAAUGUUUAUGCUUAUGUUCCUGUUUGCCUGAAUAUGAAAA